rnacentral:lncRNA from 1 species
UUUUCCAGUGAACUAAGAACUUACUAAAACACCAGUCAUGUACUACAGAAAUUAGAAAAUUAUAUUUGUCAUGUUUGGUUCUUUUCUGAACAGGACUAAUAGGCAACAGACUCCAGGAACAAUCUCAUUUAUGUUCUCUGGACCCAUGCCUUAUGCCAGUUAGUAAUGCGUUGAACUAUUAGUAUUCUUCCAAGCUAAUCAAUGCACCAUGCUUCUUGUUUC